rnacentral:tRNA from 1 species
GUGGCAUUAGCUCAAUGGCUAGAGCAUCAGGUUGUGGACCUGACGGUUGGCGGUUCGAGUCCGCUAUGCCACC